CUGUCCACUCAAUAUUUUGAGAACCCAUUGCUUGACGGACAUCAAACUAGGUACACUGGUACAUCCCAAGGAGUAGAUUACCCUCUUGAUUUUGAGGUCACAUGGUCAAAGUUUAAGAGUCAAACUACUAUCCAUUAAAUGAUGCAUACGUAUAACCCUUUUCAAUUUUGCACCAUGAGGGGCAUAUAUGAUUUACAAACAUCUCCUGUUUUCUAUUAAUUUCUUUACGUAAUGACUGAUAGUUCGAAUUCCAAGAUGGCGGCACGCAUUAGCCAAAUGGUAAGAAUUUCUCCAUAUGAUUGACUGCAGUAUGUGAGUAGAUUCCGGCAAUGACUGGAAACUCUCCUAUCAAUGGCGGAUCUAAAGGGGGGGGGGUGUCAGAAAAUUUGGCUAAAAAAGGGAUACAAAUGCUGUAUUUUGAGGAUGGAACCCCUAUUGUAACCAAAAAUGGUAAUCACCCACCCCCACAAAAUUCCUGGAUCCACUCCUACCUGUAUUCAUCGACGAAACAUUCUACCAUAUUAUCAUAUGAACUGAUACUAUCGACAUUUUGGGACGAAUCCUUACAAUAACAAUUCAAUUCUUUUUUAACACAGAAUCUGUUUAAUUUGUGAAAACCACUAUCAUCCAAACCGUAUCACAAAAUAAUCCAAACCGUAUCACAAAAUAAUCCAAACCGUAUCACAAAAUAAUCCAAACCGUACCUAAUCAGGUAAACAUAGUCAUCCAACAUGUUCCGUUUGUUUAGCGUGUCGUCGAUUGAAACAGUUAUUUUACACUUUUGUGGAUCAAUGUCAGAGUUACAAAAUUAGUGAUAAAGAUAAUCAAAGUACUGAAAGUACUCAUGGGAGUUGAACAUUGUGGAAAUUCAGUUAGAACAGAUAGCACUGGAAGGGUAGGGGGAUAAAUGACUGAAUAUUAUCAUGAUUUUAGAUACAAAUCAACUGUUGUUGUUUUUCAAAGCGUUACAACAGCAAACAUGGAUAAUGGAAGGCCCAUGGGCCACAACGCUCCUCGAGUAACUGAAGUUGUGUUGUUGUUUUCUAGAAUUUCACCCCUUUAUAUUCUCAUGAUAAAUGUGACCACAUAUUAAUGUCCAAACAUUCAAAUCAAUAUGGUUAUCAAUGCCUUGCAGUUAUGACGAAGUUUUUUCCCGUGUAUAUAUACAUUCAAGUUUAAUCCUAGUUGUAGCUAAUCUAAGGAUUCAUUACUUGAAAAGGUAGUCCAAUAUGCUAAACUGUCACCUGAGUAUACUACAGUCCUGUAGAGGAUCAAUGGAAUGGUAAAUAAUUGUAUAAUAACUCAAAAUAAAUGAAAUGCAAAAAAAUUAAAAAUCGUCCGGCAUCGGAGAUGCACAAACCGAGUUGCGCAAGGAAUGGGCAUAAAGGAAACCGGCAGAAAAGUUUGCAAGAAUUAUCAAGCAGGGAGCAAAAUUUUGCGUACAUAAAUUUCAGCCGACUUAAAUCCUUUGACCUUGACCUUUAACCCUUGACCAAAAUCAAUAGGCUUCAGGGUUCGAAAUUCACUUUUUCAAGCACUAGUCCGUACGGACUAGUCACUAUUGAUGUUCACUAGUCCGCAAAGCAUUUCACUAGUCCAUCCAGUAUAUCAUUAAAUAAUCAUUUUAUUCAAGAGUAUUUAAUGAAACCAAACACAUCACAGUUGCAAGCAAUUCAUUUUCUGACACCUUCAGAAGAAAAAGACCACCAUACUUUAUUUUGCAUUCAAGAUCUUCAGAAGCAUACAGUAACCUCCGAGUUAAUCCUUUUAUAAAUGUCCAUAAGUGCGUUCGAGAUCGACGUUACCAUUGUUUUCGUGCUCAGUUCUUACAGUCACAGGAGUUCGAAAUUUUAUCAAUAAAGUCAAUAAAAUUCACUCGAUUUACCAAGCCAUGAGCUAUAGUGUUACAAACUCCUGUGUUUGAGUCGUGAAUGACGAGAACAUGUGCGCACAAACGUGCUUGUUCUUAGAUCACACUACUUGCAGUUCUUGCACCUCGAAUCUGUUCUCGUGAUGCGUACUCGGAGUUCGGAAUCGGCAGGAAUUUGUGCUCGUUCGAAGAAUGGCGGUUUCGAACGCACUCCAUGUGUUUGAAAGAUCAGGAUGUCAUAGUCACGCAAACACUUAAUCAUGCAGGUAAUCGACCAUAAGUUCAAACAUCUAAGAGACUCAGACAAAUCUUGCUAAAAUCUUAACCAAUUCAAGAUUGAUUUCCGGAUUUUCACUAGUCCGUACAGACUAGUGCUAUAGAGAGUUUACUAGUCCGACACGUUUUUUACUAGUCUCGGACUUACGGACAUGAGGUAAUUUCGAACCCUGCGGCUUCUUUGUCUCAUCAAGGGCGAUAAUCCAUCUAAGUUUAAUUGAGAUCCUAUAAUUUGUUAAAAAAUUAUAGUGCAGAAAACAAAAUUUUCUCCAAUUUCAGUCUAUUUAUAGCCACUGUGACUUUGACCUUGUGACCCCGGAAUCGAUAGGCUUCUUGUCUUACUGAGGGUGACAAUCGAUCUAAGUUUGAUUGAGAUCCUAUAAUUCGUUCAAGAGCUAUGGUGUGGAAAACAAAAUUUUCUCCAAAUUUCAGUGUAUUUAUAGCCAGUGACCUUGACCUUUGACGUAGUAACUCCAGAAUCGAUAGACUUCCUGGUCUUACUGAGGGUGACAAUCCAUCUAAGUUUGAUUGAGAUCGUAUGAUUCGUUCAAGAGCUAUGGUGCGGAAAACAAAAUUUUCUCCAAAUUUCAGUCUAUUUAUAGCCACUGUGACCUUGGCUUUUGACCUAGUGACCCCCAAAUCGAUAGGCUUCCUCAUCUUACUGAGGGUGACAAUCCAUCUAAGUUUGAAUGAGAUCCUAUAAUUUGCUCAAGAGCUAUGGUGCGGAAAUGAAAUGUUGAUGCGUGCCCGCCCAAAGGCACUUCAUCAGAUCAUAAGCCAAGUUCGACUUCAUCGCAACUCCGCUAAAAAUGAAACACUAGUCAAAUAAUGUUAUUCAUUGCCAAGGUAUUUGGGAUAUUAUACUGUGGCUCAAACAGGGGGUGAAUGAACCUGACAGUAUGGGAAGCAUAUAGUGGAAUCAGACUUGUGAUGCUGGAAAUCUAUAGUGAUUAAUAAACUAUACAUGUACAAGAUCCAUAACUAUUUUUUUUUUCAGUUUAUGAGGGAGAAUCCUCAUGUCUCUUUCAUCUGUAGACAAAUAAACUGUAGAUAAAUAAACAAUGUGUUUUGACCAGAGUAAUUUCCAAUCCUUUUUGCAGCAUAAAUUCAACAUUGUGGCAACUGGGUUAAACUUUGAUAGUGAAGUAAUACAUGGCAGCACCUUAUCCCAUGCUCUUAAAAUUUCUGUUUGACACACACUCAUGACAUCCACUCAAACAUUACAGAGUGCAGCAAAAUCCCAUUGUAAUAGGGGAUUCAAAAUGGAUAACUGGUACAAAAUAUGGUACAUACUAUUCGAAAAGGAUAAUGAAUUUGACAUAUUGAUGUCUUGGAAAAGGAAAUUCUGACAUCGGGGCUCUAAGCGUUUUCAAACAUUGUCAUUUGAUAAAAGUGUUCUACAUUUUUAAAAAUAGAGAUUAAUAUGUCUUUACAUACAUAGGUGAGAAAGUUUCCAUUAUUCCUAGCCGAGACAUACCAUGUAUGCGCAAAAAAUUCAUAAACAAAUAUCAAAAUACUCACGUAGAAAAUGUGGACCUUACCGUCAUCAAGCGCAGUGAAACACGCCAUUUCGAGAUUUUCGCCGACGAAAGCUCGGUAACAGUAAUGAAUAAGGUACACUCAUUUUGUAUCUAUUUUGUGACUUUCUUUAUUAAAAGGAACAGUUCUCUAAUGUGUAACGUGCAAUUACUACGUAAUUCAAUAACUUGAAGCAUGAAGCAGUUUCACUUUGCAACCAGAUAUAAGAAAUUUUAUUUCGUAUUCCGAUCCCGAUCGAAAGUUGUUGACUGGGAAUGACGUGUUUUAAUUCAAUAUACAUGUAACAUCAAGCAUUUUUUAUAUCACAUUAAAAAAAACCAAAUAUAUACACAUACACAAUGUUGUAGAGUUAUUUCUUGUAAAUUUUCUGAGGUUUCGCACCAUAUUCGAUAUUUCGCGCCACGGUGUCAAUAGGUCUUGUGUGCAGUUGUCGUUCGUUUCCCUAUCAAUGUUUAUAGGUGACGCUGCGCUACAAACGACAAUUUUCAACCUUAUCUUUUAUUUUUCUAUGUAUAUCAGUAUCAAUUUGAUCGAAAUCUUGUAUUCAAAUUGAUUUGAAUACAAUAUCAUUGCAUUUACUUACAUGUCAAUUAUCAAAAUUAGAUUAAUUCAGAAAAGUUACAUGGAUUAUUUAAUGGCGGAUGUUUAUAAUAGUUUAUGUUGAUUUACCUAGGAGUAAAUCAGCUGACACAGAACCCCCGUUGACGACCACUAUACAAAUCAAUACAAAUUACUACGCAGAAAAGUGCGUGAUGACCAAGGGAGAUUGAACAUAGUUCAACUCCCAAAAACUGCCCCUUAGUUGCAAAAUGGCCCAUUUCAUGUCUAGUCCUUCACUUAAAUCAAGUUUUUCAUUCCUUUAGUCUCUGUUCGAUGAACAGAACGUUAUUUGGAAAUAAAACUUUCAUCUGAAUCUUCAACAAAAAAAAUGCAUUCCUGUUACAUCAUUCUGUUAAAAGUGCAGAAACCAACAAAACAUGUUGUAUUUCAUUGAAGUAUUCAGUGUAAACUAGCUUACUUUCAAAGAAUUUCACCAUUUUCACCUCAUCCAAAUACAUCACAACCGUCGUGGAUACACGGCAGUGUGAACCCGGAUGUCCAGUGUCAUGGCGGGCGUUGGCACGUUAAAGAACCCUCAAUGAGCAUUACGGUCCUGAGUGUUAUGAUCUAAAUUUGUAGUACUUCAUCUAUAGCUGUUGAAGUCUCAAUAUGAGUUAAAAAUUCUCGACUGGAUGUAAAACAAAAAAGCAAAAUGGGGAAAUCGUUGUAUGAAAGGUGAAGAUAGCGAACAGUGAUCAAUCUCAUAACUCUUAUAAGCAAUGCAAAAUAGAGAGUUGGGCAAACAUGGACCCCUGGACACACCAGAGGUGGGAUCAGGUGCCUAGGAGGAGUAAGCAUCUCCUGUCGACCGAUCACACCUGCUUAUGCGUUUAAGGUAGCCACACCCCCAUGGGUUUCAAAAUUUAGAGAUGUAUACACGUAUGAAAUACAUGCAUCAUUCAAACACGGAGAUGCACUACAGCCCAGUAGCUAAGUACUCUGUUACUAACUUGAAAACACGGAUGUAUAUUUAAUUGCCGUGAUAAGAUUCAGAAAUUCAUUUCAAAAUUAAGGAAUAUCUUCCUCAAGCAUAACUCUGAUCCUUAGACGAAUUUGACUCCAGUCUUUGGCACUCGGUUUUUCAUUUUAUCUCUUAAAAGUUUAUUGUUAUUUCGAAUUUCCAAAAUUUAGGCUUGAGCAUCACUGAAGAGACAUAAUUUGUCGAAAUGCGCAUCUGGUGCAUCAAAAUUGGUACCUUAUAAGUUUUACAUGUAAUAAGAAAGUUUAAAGAACAUUGCUAUAAAAAAGACAUUAUUUUAGGAAAACCUAUUAACAGGUUAUAAAUGCAAGUUGACAGUUGUGUAGAGCUGCAUGUCUGGUGAGUGGAAAUGACAGUUUAAGCAAAUGGCUCUGUCAGUCACACAUAGUCCUAACCUCUUAGAUAUAGAUAGUCAUGGAAGGUCUGGCACACUGGUGAGCUGUAGAACUUUGUAGAAGUAGGCUUAAGGAAUGUACGUUAGCAAUGCUGUUUUCUUCGCUGUUGAUUUCCUCUUCGUCAUUCCAUGUAGAAAUGUACAUAAUUUUACAGGCUUGGUAGGUUGCAGAUGAGAUCUUCAGUGGACAUUCACACAGCAUCCCAGUAUUUGUCAAGACUUGGACGGUCCCUCUCUGUGUUUUGGUCACUUGUACUCGAACCAGCAGGUCCAUCAGUGUCUCGGAGGGCACCAGCUCAGACUGUGGAAUGUUGAGGGAAAUAGGUGUCACCAGAUGAUGAUGCCUAGCAUACACAUGGGUGCUAAUGCGAAACUAAGACACGUGGUCAGCAGCUGAAGAAAUUCAGAUUGAAACCUGCAGGAUCCAGGAAAAGGGAAGGUGGAUGGCCCCAUAUAAAAGGUUGUAAAAGAAGAUGGACAGAUGAAGAUGAACUGUAAAAAUGGAAACCUUUGCGAUUCAGAUUUAAAAAAUGGAAUGUGUACAUCGAAGCAAUUCGAUAUGUACAGACAAAACAUAAAACAUUAUGUGACCAGUCAGAAGCGAUAAUAAGAUCCAAAAUGAACAACAUCAUUUUAGGAAAAGUUCGUAAAACAAGGAUAAACUUCAAAAGAAGACUUUUGCAGGCUUAUGAGAAUUAUUUAGUCUACGCUAAGGUGAAGUGUCCUGAUCAGCAUUUGCCCAUUGUCUUCUGUUAGAUUUUUUAUCCAGUUAUUAUCAUCGAAAUUUAUUACGUUAUACUGCUUUCUGUGCCACCUAUCUUUGUAUUUUCUAGUUACGUUUUGCGGGCUAUCAGCAAAAUGUAUUUGCUGUUUUUGGUUUUAUUUGAGUAAUGAUUUGAUUGAGGUGCAGUUAAUGCUUACUUUUUUCCGCGGUUCGAUAGUAGAGCAGAAAAAUAUUGUAUUAACGGAUCCGUGUCAAUAUUUUCUAUAGAUGUUUGUCAAGCUUGAAUGAACGAGCCAAUCAGUUCAUUAUGCAUAAAUGGUUCGAUGGGUAGUAUCGAGCGUGGUCAUUCUCUAGCCGUCAACCAAGACGAACACAUGUUGAAACUUCAAAAUAAAAUUGAGAUUUUGCAUAUAUAAAUUAUCUCGCCCAGUUUCAGAGAUUUUCCCCAAGAGGAUUUAACUCUGUUUCCCCCUGGGUUUGAUAAUUUAUAAGGGCUAUGUUCAUUAAAUAUAAAAUCGUUGAUUGUCCAUUUUCCUCUUGUUUGAAGAGAUGUAAUUCUGUAGAUGUGAUAUGGGUGAACAAUAAUGUUACACAAGUAUUCAUAUAAUAUGGUAUUAUGUUUUUUACACAUGUACGUUUUGUAGGUGUACAUGUGUUGUGGCUAAUUUCGUGUUUUUUAUGCAGUUUAAGCAUUUUCGGGUUUAUUAUAAUUAAGUAUUUAUCAGACAGGAAAAAGUCCUUUGCAUUGGAAUUUGUGUACCCUCUUCAGCCAUUCAAUUGUUAAAAAUCUUGAAAAUGUUUAUCCUUUUACAUUAUGUAACCUUAAGAUUUGGUGAAAUACUUAAGCACCAUUUUUAAAGAAAUGAGAAUCUGUUUUUUUGUUUUUGUUUUUACAAGAGAACUAUUGAAUUAAGUAACUUGUGAAGACAUCUACAUGGUUGAAUAGUCUUUUUAACUUAUACAGAUCUACCUUACUUUUUAUACGCCCGUCUUUAGACAGGACUUAUUAUGGUACAGCGAUGUCUGUAUGUCCGUCCAUUCGUGGUUUAUUGCUUCUAAUUUCAUUUCUCUUUCACAUAUCAAGCUGAAUCUUGCUAUGUAGCUUCUUUGUGGUUCCCUCUAGACUGUGAUACAAUUUCGACCCAUUUGGAUUUCUCUUACCAGAGUUUCCCCCCUUUAUUUGAACAGCAAGUAUUUUUUUAUGUUAUAUUUGAAUUAAAACAGCAAUUUCUUUUUUGUAAAAAUGAGGGUCCGCCAUUUAUUUUGUUUACCUCGCACUAUAUUGCCGCGGACACACAGGUUUCCAUAGUUUUUCACAAACGUUGUGGUUUUAUCUAUGGUUUUUCCUCGGCGGCGAGGGAAGCACAUUUAUAGUAUUUUGGAAAUAAUAUAAGUAUGACGAGUGUGUUUUGUCAAACAAUGCCUAUGAUUGCUUUAUAUUACGUGUUGUUUGUGGUGUAUAUGUACUUAAAAUAAAUAAAGGUGUCAUCUCGCAUGGUGCGCUACAAUG